UGAACGCUGGCGGCAUGCCUUACACAUGCAAGUCGAACGGCAGCAUGAUCUAGCUUGCUAGAUUGAUGGCGAGUGGCGAACGGGUGAGUAAUACAUCGGAACGUGCCCUGUAGUGGGGGAUAACUAGUCGAAAGAUUAGCUAAUACCGCAUACGACCUGAGGGUGAAAGUGGGGGACCGCAAGGCCUCAUGCUAUAGGAGCGGCCGAUGUCUGAUUAGCUAGUUGGUGGGGUAAAGGCCCACCAAGGCGACGAUCAGUAGCUGGUCUGAGAGGACGAUCAGCCACACUGGGACUGAGACACGGCCCAGACUCCUACGGGAGGCAGCAGUGGGGAAUUUUGGACAAUGGGCGAAAGCCUGAUCCAGCAAUGCCGCGUGUGUGAAGAAGGCCUUCGGGUUGUAAAGCACUUUUGUCCGGAAAGAAAUGGCUCUGGUUAAUACCUGGGGUCGAUGACGGUACCGGAAGAAUAAGGACCGGCUAACUACGUGCCAGCAGCCGCGGUAAUACGUAGGGUCCAAGCGUUAAUCGGAAUUACUGGGCGUAAAGCGUGCGCAGGCGGUUGUGCAAGACCGAUGUGAAAUCCCCGAGCUUAACUUGGGAAUUGCAUUGGUGACUGCACGGCUAGAGUGUGUCAGAGGGGGGUAGAAUUCCACGUGUAGCAGUGAAAUGCGUAGAGAUGUGGAGGAAUACCGAUGGCGAAGGCAGCCCCCUGGGAUAACACUGACGCUCAUGCACGAAAGCGUGGGGGAGCAAACAGGAUUAGAUACCCUGGUAGUCCACGCCCUAAACGAUGUCAACUAGUUGUUGGGGAUUCAUUUCCUUAGUAACGUAGCUAACGCGUGAAGUUGACCGCCUGGGGAGUACGGUCGCAAGAUUAAAACUCAAAGGAAUUGACGGGGACCCGCACAAGCGGUGGAUGAUGUGGAUUAAUUCGAUGCAACGCGAAAAACCUUACCUACCCUUGACAUGCCACUAACGAAGCAGAGAUGCAUUAGGUGCUCGAAAGAGAAAGUGGACACAGGUGCUGCAUGGCUGUCGUCAGCUCGUGUCGUGAGAUGUUGGGUUAAGUCCCGCAACGAGCGCAACCCUUGUCUCUAGUUGCUACGAAAGGGCACUCUAGAGAGACUGCCGGUGACAAACCGGAGGAAGGUGGGGAUGACGUCAAGUCCUCAUGGCCCUUAUGGGUAGGGCUUCACACGUCAUACAAUGGUGCAUACAGAGGGUUGCCAAGCCGCGAGGUGGAGCUAAUCCCAGAAAAUGCAUCGUAGUCCGGAUCGUAGUCUGCAACUCGACUACGUGAAGCUGGAAUCGCUAGUAAUCGCGGAUCAGCAUGCCGCGGUGAAUACGUUCCCGGGUCUUGUACACACCGCC
rnacentral:rRNA from 1 species